rnacentral:rRNA from 1 species
AUGGCGACGGCCUCGACGUCGAUGGUGGUGAGGCGGAGGCGGAACGCGCUGGCGCAGACGCUGGCGUCGCGGAGGCUUCCGGAGGGCGUGGCGGAGCCCGGGGAGCGGGUGCCCGAAGCCUUGGCCCCAGAGGUGAUGCCAUUCAUCCGCGCAGCCGACGAGGUCGAGCUGCUCAACCCGCGGGUCGCGUUCCUCUGUCGCAGAUAUGCCUACAAGAAAGUUCAAAGAAUGGAUCCAUCAUCCAUCCAACGUGGGGUUCGGCAGUUCAAAACAUACAUGUCACUUAAGCUAGAUCAGGAUGACACGCAAUUUCCUUUAAAUGAUUCAAAGGAGAUCCAACGAUUUUAUAAGUACUACUGUGAAAAUUUGAGCAGAACUUCUGAAAAACAGAACUUUGAGGAAUUGGCUAGAUAUUACCAAGUGGCAUCUGCUCUUUAUGAAGUGUUAAGAGAUGUAACAAACAACAAGGUUGAUUCUGAGGUGAUGAAACGUGCUAAAGUAGUAGAGGAAAAGAGUGCUCAUUUCAAGAGUUACAAGUACAACAUAGUCCCCCUCAAUUUUCCUGGUUCUGCCGAACCAGUUGUGGAACUCCCGGAGAUAAAAAGUGCUAUGGAUGCAAUACGUAACAUAGACGGUCUUCCAAAGCCACACAUGUCUUCAAUGCACAGGGAAGGAAAAUCUAUCUGGGAUUUACUUGACUGGCUUUCGCUAGCAUUUGGAUUUCAGAAAUCGAAUGUGGAAAAUCAGAGAGAAAAUAUGGUGUUACUGCUUGCAAAUAUUAGCACAAGGACCUCAGGACAGGAAGGGCAUCCUUUGGUCAACACUGUGAAUGAUUUGUGGGAGAAAAUAUUUGGAAAUUAUGAAUCAUGGUGUCGCUAUUUGCAUGUUAGUUCAAGAAUUAUGAUCAAAUAUGAUGACACAGAACUAAAGAAGCAGCAGCUAAUGCUUCUCCACAUUGGAUUGUACCUUCUUAUCUGGGGUGAGGCUUCAAAUGUUCGGUUUAUGCCUGAGUGCUUAUGCUACAUAUUCCACCAUAUGGCAAAACAGUUGAAUCAAAUGGUUGAAGAAAGUUAUUUUCAACCACCACCUGGGUUUGAGGCGGAGGGAUCAUUCUUAAACAUUGUCAUUGAACCUAUCUAUAAGGUUCUGCAGAAGGAAUCACAAAGAAGUAAAGGUGGUACAGCUGGCCACUCAUCUUGGAGAAAUUAUGACGACUUGAAUGAACAAUUCUGGUCAGAGAAAUGUUUUAUGAAGCUUGGCUGGCCAUGGGAUCUCAGUGCAGACUUCUUUCAUCAAGAGGGUCGUAGUGCAAGAAAGCCCAAAACAAAUUUUGUUGAAGUCCGCACAUUUCUGCACCUAUUUAGAAGUUUUAAUCGUAUGUGGAUAUUUUUUACAUUGGCUUUCCAGGCGAUGCUAAUAGUUUCAUGGAGUUCCUCUGGAUCUCUUUCUGGAAUUGCUGAUGCAACUGUAUUCAGAAGCGUUUUAAGUGUCUUUAUAACUGCCGCUCUACUCAACUUCAUAAAAGUGACUUUGGAUAUAUUGCUUACUUUCCAAGCAUGGGGAAGUAUGGAGUGGACACAGAUACUCAGAUACCUACUAAAAUUCUUUGUGGCUAUUGCUUGGAUAAUAAUCCUUCCAGUAACAUAUUCCAGUUCAAUUAAAAGCCCAUCUGGCGCUGGCAAACUCUUGAAUAGUUUGACAUGGAAUUGGUACAACCAGUCAGUAUAUAAUUUUGCAAUCAUCAUUUAUAUGAUUCCGAACAUUUUGUCUGCCUUGCUUUUCUUGUUGCCACAACUUCAAAAUAUAAUGGAACGCUCAAAUUGGCGUGCAGUUAUUCUUCUUAUGUGGUGGAUUCAGCCAAGAUUGUAUGUUGCACGUGGUAUGCAUGAAGACAUAUUUUCCAUUUUUAAAUAUGUCUUCUUUUGGGUUGUGUUGCUCACCUCCAAGCUUGCAUUUAGUUUCUAUGUUGAGAUAUCCCCCAUGAUUGAACCGACGAAGUUCAUUCUUGAUCAAGUAGUUGGGAACUAUGAAUGGCAUGAAAUCUUCCCUUUCUUGCCGCACAAUCUCGGUGUUGUUAUUACUAUAUGGGCACCAAUUGUUUUGGUGUACUUUAUGGACACACAAAUAUGGUAUGCUAUUUUCUCCACUGUCUUUGGGGGCGUUUCAGGUGCCCUCAGUCAUGUCGGUGAGAUACGUACCCUAGGCAUGUUGAGAGUCAGAUUCAAAUCAAUGCCAGAUGCUUUCAGGAAAUGUCGCGUGGCAGCACAUAAAGAGCAAGCACUUGAUGUGAGGAGCUUCUUUUGUGUUUGGAAUUCAUUCAUCAAUUCCUUACGAGAGGAAGACUUCAUUAGUGAUAGAGAGAAGGACAUGUUGAUGGCUCCAUCAUCUUCAAGUAAUUUACCUGUUGUUCCGUGGCCUCCUUUCCUCCUUGCUAGCAAGGUACCAACAGCUCUCCAUAUGGCCAUGACUUCCAAAGAGGGGGAUGACCAUGAGCUGAUUGAAAAAAUCAAACUAGACAAGGACAGAUACAAUGCAGUUAUAGAAUGCUACGAAUCCUUGAAAAUAAUACUUGUUUGUCUUCUGCUAGACUAUAAUGAUAAAAGAAUUGUCGAUGAUAUCGAUAAAAUAGUGCGAAAUAGUAUGCAAAAUAACACACUUUUGGAGGACUUCAAGAUGGCAGAGAUCGGUAAAGUCAGCAACACAUUGGUAAAAUUAUUACAGCUAUUGAAGAGCGAACCUACUGAUGAUACUACAGAGAGAAAAAUCGUUAAUGCAUUGCAAGAUUUUAUGGAAAUUGCUACACGAGAUUUUAUGAAAGAUGGUCACGGCAUUUUGAAAGAUGAGAAUGAGAGAAAGCAGAGUUUCACGAAUCUAAAUAUGGACGUGAUAAAGGAUGCAUUUUGGAGGGAGCAGUUUGUCCGGCUGCAUUUAUUGUUGACUAUGAAGGAUUCUGCAAUGGAUGUACCUACAAAUUUGGAUGCUCGACGUAGGAUCACCUUCUUCGCAAACUCACUUUUUAUGAAAAUGCCGAGAGCACCUCAAGUGCAUGAUAUGAUAUCCUUUAGUGUUUUGACUCCAUAUUACAAUGAGGAAGUACUUUACUCGUCUCAUGAACUAAAUAGAAAGAAUGAAGACGGUAUCUCGAUUUUGUUUUAUCUACAAAAGAUUUAUCCAGAUGAAUGGAAGAACUUUCUAGAACGCAUUGGAGUUGAUCCAGAUAACGAAGAGGAAGUAAAGGGAUGCAUGGAUGAUAUCCGUAUAUGGGCGUCUUACCGGGGUCAAACACUUGCCAGAACUGUGAGAGGGAUGAUGUACUAUAGACGAGCUCUUGAAGUGCAAUGCUAUGAGGAUAUGAAAAGUGAACAAGCAGAUUUGGGUGGAGACGAAUCUGCAAGGUCCAAGGCCAUUGCUGAUGUCAAAUUCACUUAUGUUGUUGCUUGUCAACUCUAUGGCAUGCAUAAGGCAUCCAAGGAUUCCCGGGAAAGGGGUCUGUAUGAGAACAUCUUAAAUCUGAUGCUAACGUAUCCAGCUUUGCGUAUUGCUUACAUUGAUGAGAAGGAAGUGCCACUACCAAAUGGUAAAAUGGAGAAACAUUAUUACUCUGUUCUUGUGAAAGGUGACGAUGAGGAAAUUUACCGGGUAAAGCUGCCUGGUAAACCAACAGAAGUUGGAGAGGGGAAGCCUAAUAAUCAAAAUCAUGCCAUAAUCUUCACUAGAGGAGAGGCACUUCAAGCAAUUGACAUGAACCAGGAUAACUAUCUUGAAGAAUCAUUUAAAAUGAGAAAUUUGUUGGAAGAGUUCCUUAUUAAACAUGGAAAGUCCAAGCCAACAAUAUUGGGUGUUCGCGAGCAUAUCUUCACAGGAAGUGUUUCAUCACUUGCCUGGUUUAUGUCCAACCAAGAGACCAGUUUUGUUACUAUCGGCCAACGUGUUCUUGCAAACCCUCUUAAGGUACGAUUCCACUAUGGUCACCCUGAUGUUUUCGAUAGAAUCUUUCACAUCACAAGGGGUGGCAUAAGCAAGGCCUCAAAGGUUAUUAACCUCAGCGAGGACAUCUUUGCAGGGUUCAAUUCAACCCUGCGACAAGGAAAUGUUACCCAUCAUGAAUACAUACAGUUGGGUAAAGGACGUGAUGUUGGAAUGAACCAAAUAUCCAACUUUGAGGCCAAGGUGGCAAAUGGAAAUGGUGAACAAACUCUAUGUCGUGAUGUUCAUCGACUAGGACACAGAUUCGAUUUCUACAGGAUGUUGUCUAUGUACUUCACCACAGUUGGCUUCUACUUCAAUAGCAUGGUGGCCGUUCUUACGGUGUAUGUAUUUUUAUAUGGGCGGUUAUAUCUUGUUUUGAGUGGCUUAGAAAAGUCGAUUCUCCAAGAUCCACGGAUUAAAAACAUCAAACCCUUUGCAAAUGCACUUGCCACCCAAUCGGUAUUCCAACUUGGGACGUUGCUCAUCCUCCCGAUGAUAAUGGAGGUCGGCUUGGAGAAAGGGUUUGGUAAAGCCCUGGCUGAGUUUAUAAUCAUGCAACUUCAGUUAGCUCCUAUGUUCUUCACUUUUCAUCUCGGGACAAAGACUCACUACUAUGGAAGGACUAUACUUCAUGGUGGUGCAAAAUAUAGAGGAACAGGCCGGGGUUUUGUUGUACGCCAUGCGAAGUUUGCUGAGAAUUACAGAAUGUACUCACGGAGCCACUUUGUGAAAGCAUUGGAGCUGCUCAUCCUCUUGGUUGUUUAUCUAGCAUACGGGAGUUCUUACAGGAGCUCAAGUUUGUAUGUAUACGUCACAAUUUCGAUGUGGUUCCUUGUUUUCUGCUGGCUGUUUGCGCCUUUUAUCUUCAACCCAUCAUGCUUCGAGUGGCACAAGACGGUUGAUGACUGGACUGAUUGGUGGAAGUGGAUGAACAAUAGGGGUGGUAUUGGGCUGGCACCUGAGCAAAGUUGGGAGGCUUGGUGGGUGAGUGAACAUGAGCACCUGAAGAAUGGAACAGUACGUAGCUUGCUCUUGGAGCUGGUUCUGUCGCUGCGCCUCCUGAUCUACCAAUAUGGUAUUGUGUACCACUUGCACAUAGUGCACGAGAACAAAAGCUUCAUGAUAUAUGCACUAUCGUGGCUGGUUAUUGGCAUCGUUCUUGUUUCGCUAAAGGUUGUUUCACUGGGGAGAGAGAAGUUUGUUACCAAGUUUCAGCUUGUGUUCCGUAUACUCAAGGGCAUUGUGUUUCUUGUCCUCAUCGGCUUGAUGGUGGUCAUAUUUGUUGGUUUUGAUCUCGCUGUGUCAGACGUUGGCGCCAGUGUCUUGGCCUUCAUCCCAACUGGCUGGUUUAUUCUUUUGAUGGCACAAGUGUGUGGACCGCUGUUUCGGAGGUUAGUGAUUGAGCCACUUGGCGUGCUGUGUUGCUCCUGUUGCCGCGGUGGAGCAUGCCGAGGGCCUUGCUGCGCCAAGUUGAGGCAGAGGAGUGGGGCUGUGCUCCGUAAGAUAGGGCCAUGGGACUCCAUCCAAGAGAUGGCAAGGAUGUACGAGUAUACCAUGGGGAUCCUCAUCUUCCUGCCCAUCGCCGUCCUCUCGUGGUUCCCCUUCAUGUCCGAGUUCCAGACGCGUCUGCUCUUCAACCAAGCCUUCAGCCGGGGCCUGCAGAUCUCGAGGAUCCUCGCUGGGCAGGACGGGAGGGGUACCAUUACCAAGCGUGAAUGA